rnacentral:rRNA from 1 species
UGGGGAAUCUUGCACAAUGGGCGAAAGCCUGAUGCAGCGACGCCGCGUGCGGGAUGAAGGCCUUCGGGUUGUAAACCGCUUUCAGCAGGGACGAGGCCGCAAGGUGACGGUAUCUGCAGAAGAAGCCUCGGCUAACUCCGUGCCAGCAGCCGCGGUAAUACGUAGGGGGCAAGCGUUAUCCGGAAUCAUUGGGCGUAAAGCGCGCGUAGGCGGUUUGUUAGGUCAGGAGUUAAAUCUGGGGGCUCAACCCCUUUCCGUGCCUGAUACCGGCAGGCUUGAGUCUGGUAGGGGAAGGAGGAAUUCCAAGUGUAGCGGUGAAAUGCGCGUAUAUUUGGAAGAACACCGGUGGCGAAGGCGGGCUUCUGUGCCACGACUGACGCGGAGGGGCGAAAGCUAGGGGAGCGAACAGG